GUGUUCAGAUAAGGUAAAAGUUAUUCAAUAUUUCUGAACUAUCACUAGUUUGACAUCUCUCUCCCAAUCUCUGACAGCUCGACGGUUUCUCUAUUUGAUCAGCUGUUCAAGAUUUACAGCCAAUCAGAACCACCAAAUUCGUGGGGUGGUGCAAGACGGAACUUUGCUUCUUCCGUAUUAUUAAUUCAUUUUCUUGCAGUAGCAGCUACCUUUCGAAGAUCAGUAAUAACCAUUAGCUUUCACAGAUUCUCUAACCAAUCUAUUUCGGAGUUCUACAUACUAGGUCACGGAGGAAUAGUGUUGGUGCCGACUGAUUGGAUGACUUCGAAUCGCGCAUGGAUGCACUGCGACGACGCUUCAGCUCUUCCUGACGCUUGGCCUUAGCUUCCUUUUGUCUCUGAGCCAGAAGCUUAGCAUACUCGGCAGCCUGUUCUUUGCGAGCAAGACAACGCCUCUUUUUCAGUGCCAGCCUAUGCCUCUUCCUCUGCAGAAAUAAGAAGGAAAAUUCGCCAUGUUUAUAUUAUUUGUAUAAUCACAAACGAUUGCUUAUUGUGUGUAAAUAAACGAAGUAUGAUGAUAAGGUAAGUGGUGUGUAUGUAUCAUUCGUACACUGAGAAAUUGUGCAGACAUAAUGCGCAUUUUCUCAAAUCUUAAAAUGACAAUUUCAUUUUCCACGCACAUGAACGUCUCUAAGAUAAAAUUACACUUAGACACUGCCUGAGCGUGGCCAAGUAAUUGAUUAUUAAUAAGCUGGGAGAUUCAUAAAAUCCACGAGAGAUGAAUGCAAUAAUAUUAUAACGCACCUGUAGAGUCAGUGGGGUGAUCAGACGCUGAAUCUUGGGUGCCUUAUGACGCUCCUUCUUGCCUUCUUUGCGCACUGGCCGUUUGACAACAAACUGACGAACAUCAUCCUCCUUGGUGAGGUUGAAUAGUUUGCGGAUCUUGCUCGCACGUUUUGGCCCAAGGCGACGAGGGACGUUUUUGUCAGUCAGGCCUGGAAUUUCCUGCAUGAAUGAUAGAAAUCAAUCGGUUUAAAAAUCUUCUGUUGAUCGGUGCUUUAUUAAAAUAGACCAAAAUUUAAGUGGCGAGUAUGUGUCAUUUGUACACUAAGAUAGAGUGCAAGGAUUGCGCACAAUUUCUCAAAUCUAUAAAUGAUCAUUUUAUUUUCCACACACAUGAACGCCCCCAAUUGAGUUCAAUGUAAUUGGACACUGCCUGAGUGUGGAAAUCUG
rnacentral:misc_RNA from 1 species